GUCUCAAAUGUAAAUAAAGGGAUACCAAGACGCGUAAAGUAGUGUAAAAUAAAUCGGGCUCUCGUUUAACAAUCGAGCUAUCAUAAACGUUCAGCGUCAUCUAUGUAGUCGACCCAUCAAAUUUGCGGCUACAAUUACCUAUUUCCACUGCCUGUAAAGUAGGCCCAUUAUUCCUUUGCUUGGCAUCUUGGAUAUCUUGGUAUUAAUUUGCUUAAAGUUCAACUAUCUGUGAUAGAACCAACGUAAAAACAAAUGUGUCGUUUCCAAGCAACAGGUACCACAUUGUCGCUUGCCAUAAGGACGCUCUGACAGGUUAUUCGUAUAAAGAUACAAGCAAAUUUCGUCUUUAUGUUCGUUUUUUUUAGCAUUAGAAAUAAGGUAAACAAUCUUGACGUGUCUUUUAAAUGAAAAACACAUUUUAAAAAUAAGUUACGGCAAAUAUGUAACAAUUAUGAAUCUAAUACGAUCAUUUAUAUUCUUCUGCUUUCAUAAGUAAUAGUUACUGAUUUUUAAAAAGCGUUUUUCAAUUAAAAGACAUGUCAAGAUCGCUUACCUUCUUUCAAGUUCUUUCUAAUGCUAAAUAAAACGAACUAUAGACCUGGAUUCGUAAUGAGGCUUUUUAAAAUCCUUAACCUUGGAAUGACAAGUUAUCAUUGAUAACUUUUAUUUAAUUAAGUUAAUUAAAAUUUUGAUUAAUUUAAUUGGUCAUUUCCCGGCAUCGGGCUAAGGGCACUUACUUGCAUGGGAAUAUAUAGUUUGGCAAAAUGGAAUUUGGAAAAUAUACCUUAUAGGAUAAUGAACUCAAAACAAAAACGGCCGUAUUAACUUUGGACGCAUAGAUUUGACGAAUCCAGCAACAUAAAAACUAGUCUGAUGUAUUCAAAAGGUACUUAAAUACAUAAUACAGUACGUAGCGGCCCCCUUUUUUUAAAAUAUAUUUCGUUAAAUUUAAAUAAUCACGAUUAUUUAGCAGUGGCGCUAGUGUGCACGUUGAUGGGCUCUUAAUCCGUACCUACUCGUAUUCUGUACGGAUUAGGGAAAAUCUAUAGUUUCGGAGAUAGCGUUGAUAUUGUAUUUUUUGAACUCCAGAUUUGUCACUAAAGUUAGAUAUUCUGACGAAACCAUGGACUAUCGUGACAUGAUUUUUAUUGGUACUUCGUAUGCUCUAAUAAAGGACAUAUUAGUUCCACAUGAAAUAGGCACUUUACAUGAACGAUAACAACGACAUUAUUAAGAAGAUUUAUUUACGUUUAAGGCGAAGUAGAUUCAGACUACUACUAGAAAACUACUAAAAUUUAGAUUUACGUUUUUGUAUUGAUUUUAGCGCAGAAACCCAGACUAGGCAUUGAUUAUGGUUUCGUUCAUAUGUAAUGUAAUUUUUUUGGUAAGUAGAAGGUACCUAAGUAGUUAGAAGAUUUAAUUAUACGUUAUCGUCCGAGUAAAUCAGUAAUAUUUA